GACGAACGCUGGCGGCGUGCUUAACACAUGCAAGUCGAACGGAAAGGCCCUGCUUUUGUGGGGUGCUCGAGUGGCGAACGGGUGAGUAACACGUGAGUAACCUGCCCUUGACUUUGGGAUAACUUCAGGAAACUGGGGCUAAUACCGGAUAGGAGCUCCUGCUGCAUGGUGGGGGUUGGAAAGUUUCGGCGGUUGGGGAUGGACUCGCGGCUUAUCAGCUUGUUGGUGGGGUAGUGGCUUACCAAGGCUUUGACGGGUAGCCGGCCUGAGAGGGUGACCGGCCACAUUGGGACUGAGAUACGACCCAGACUCGUGCAGGAGGCAGCAGUGAUGAAUAUUUCACAAUGGGCGGAAGCCUGAUGCAGCAACGCCGCGUGCGGGAUGACGGCCUUCGGGUUGUAAACCGCUUUCGCCUGUGACGAAGCGUGAGUGACGGUAAUGGGUAAAGAAGCACCGGCUAACUACGUG
rnacentral:rRNA from 1 species